AACGUAGGAGACAAACGUUAUCCGGAGUUACUGGGCGUAAAGGGCGCGUAGGUGGCCUGUUAAGUCGAACGUGAAAUCCCCGGGCUCAACCCGGGAACUGCGUCCGAGACUGGCAGGCUCGAAUCCGGGAGAGGGAUGUGGAAUUCCAGGUGUAGCGGUGAAAUGCGUAGAUAUCUGGAGGAACACCGGUGGCGAAGGCGGCAUCCUGGACCGGUAUUGACGCUGAGGCGCGAAAGCCAGGGGAGCAAACGGG
rnacentral:rRNA from 1 species